rnacentral:lncRNA from 1 species
UGAUAUGAUUUCUUUUUUCUUUUUUUUUCUUUUUUUUAGGAAUCGGAGAGUGGUGGGAACAUCCGACUACUCACCCAAAAAUUUAUUCAGAGCAAUAUGAAAGGAUUUACAAGAGUUUGAAAUUUAAGUGGAGUUCCAACUCUUUCAUCCAAGAAGGAGAUAAAGGGAAGAGGUAGCACAAAAUCAAGAAAAAAUUAAACAACAUGGAAAGCAUCUUCUCACAUCAAAGACUUAAAAGAGUAUAUGCAAAGGUCUUCUUCACAACCAACUUUUUUGUUCCUUCGCACUUGUUUGCGGAAAAUACGCCCACGUUCCAAAAUUGAAAUAGCAAGUGCAACACUUUCAUGGAUCUAUCAGCCUCCAGGUGGUUUCUGGAGGAGGUGAAGGUCGCUCUUCAGGGGGGAUAUGGUGCCUCACCGGGUUUCCGGAUGGAGAUGGUGGGCCAUAUCCGACCCUUCCACCUAACAUCCUUCCCUUCGUCUCUGCAAAACAACAGGGCAGAAGCACACCAAAGUAAAUAUGAAUUCCACAACAGCAGCAACACCUAAUGAUUAUCAAAAGGCUUCGAAGCUACCCUCGUAUAUGCCCAUAAUAUAAGCAAGCCUUCAGAAAAUAUUACCAUUUCCAUGGACGAAAUGAAGCUCGACGGAGAGAAAGGCAGAGACUAUAGCUAUGAGGAAGAGGAUUCGGAUGAAAGGCGCGAGUUUCAUCUUUUCCUCCCCGUAGUGGCUCAGAAAUAUGGGGGACUCUGUCACUUAGAGUCCUUUAUUGGAGCAGAUCAACACAUGGUCAGAUUCUGAUGAAACAAGAACUGAAAUAUAUGGAAACUUCGCCACCAAG